rnacentral:rRNA from 1 species
CUAUGCGCCUUGCCAGCCCGCUCAGGUGUGCCAGCCGCCGCGGUAAUACGGAGGAUGCGAGCGUUAUCCGGAUUUAUUGGGUUUAAAGGGUGCGCAGGCGGAAGAUCAAAGUCAGCGGUAAAAUUGAGAGGCUCAACCUCUUCGAGCCGUUGAAACUGGUUUCUUGAGUGAGCGAGGAGUAUGCGGAAUGCGUGGUGUAGCGGUGAAAUGCAUAGAUAUCACGCAGAACUCCGAUUGCGAAGGCAGCAUACCGGCGCUCAACUGACGCUCAUGCACGAAAGUGUGGGUAUCGAACAGG